CGCCCCCUCCUCAAGCCUCGCGCACUCAAGGAUGUUGUUUGUCCUUCCGCUGAAAGGAAUAGUGCAGAUUCGUCAAGGAAAUACAUGGAAAUACAUUUUUAUCAUCGGAAAAACAGUGGGAUGGUGAAUCUACUUUGUGAAGGUGGACCACCCUGUGGGAAGCAAUGCCAAAUGUCCCUGUUCCUCACUCUUCACCCACUUAACCCCCCACCCCGAACAUCCCAGAGGAGAUUGCUGAUAACUGCACACUGAAACAUACAACUAUCCAGGCGGCUCUUGGAACCUGAUCUCUGUGAGACACUCAUAACAGAUCGUCACUCACAGUCUCAAUCCAGCUUUUGGAAAGCUCAGCAACCUGCCUCAAUUACAAUCCCACUUUAACACGGAGUCAUGGAGACGUUUACAAGUCAUGGAGGCCCAUUCAGAGUAAUAGGGUAAUGACCUGCAGACCGCAGCCUGAAGAACAACAAAAUUUUUUUUCUUUUUGUGUAAACUGGGGAUUAUAUUCGCUACAGAACUGUAUUGGGGUUGGGAACUGAGAACUGGACUCAUAAUGACUCUUUUGAGCUGGUUCAUUUUAGUGAAUAACAAAUACAGCACAACCAGUUUAGUCCAAUUCACAAAAAAAGGUGUUUUUGUGAGUCAUUAAAUCCAUAUGAAUCAGGGUGUUUGGUGAACUAUUUUGAUUCACUGAAAUGCAAAUAAUUACAAUUGUAAUGUUGGACUCAAAAUGGACCAAGAAAUGUUAAACAAUUGACACACAUCAGUUCUGUUAUUGAAAGGUUGUUCAUAUGACAUUAGAGUUAAAGAUGAACAUUGUGAGUUUUCUUAU